UAAGGGACGUAGAGAGAUAUUGGUCAAUGGCCUAACGGCUGAACCAGCAACUUGGAGGAAUGUAUAGGGAAAACUGGUAAAAUGUGAUGUACCUAGUAAUCUUAGUGAUUAAUAUGAGAUUAAUUAAGUUAAUUAAAAUUCAAAGUAGAUUUUGAUUAUGACAGAAUUUGCUUAUGUCUUGACCAAGUCACGUGCCAGCAGUCGCGGUAAUACGUGGAAGAUAAGCGUUAUUCAUGUUUAACAGGUUUAAAGGGUACCUAGACCGUUAAUUAAACAUAAAAAUUGAAUUAAUUAACUAGAGUUUAAUGUAAGAAAGAUUGAGUACGGUGAGUGUAGUGAUAUAAUAUUAUGACACAACUUUGGAACUGGUAAAGGCGAAGGCAACUUUCUAUGUAAAAAAUGUAAAAACUGACGUUAAGGGACGAAGGCUCGUGUUAAAAAACAGGAUUAGAUAACCUGGUAUUUCGGGCAGAAAAUGAUGAGUGUCAUAUGCAAGAUAAAAAGGUAAGAAGAAAGUAAAAAAAAUGCUUAAUAAAGUUUUAAAAACCUUUAUUUUUUGUGUAUAAAUGAAAGUGUAAGCACUCCACCUCAAGAGUAACGUGGCAACAUGGGAACUGAAAUCAUUAGACCGCUUCUGAAACUCGUAGUGAAGUAUGUUGUUUAAUUUGAUAACCCUCAAAUAACCUUACCACAAUUUGUAUAACUAUUAUAUGUAGUAACAAGCGUUGCACGGCUGUCUUCAGUCAAUGUUGUGAAACUAUGGUUAGAUCCAUGAAAUUGACGUAAACCCUUGCUUUAUUUAAUAUAAAGUAGUUCGCCAGUAUAUAGGUAGUGAUAUAAGGACCAAGACAAGUCAUCAUGACCUGAAUAUUGUGGGCUAUAGCGUUGCCACAAUAC
rnacentral:rRNA from 1 species